rnacentral:rRNA from 1 species
GACGAACGCUGGCGGCGUGCUUAACACAUGCAAGUCGAACGAAGUGGCGAACGGGUGAGUAACGCGUAAUCAACCUGCCCUUCAGACGGGGACAACAGAUGGACACGACUGCUAAUACCGCAUACUGUAGGAGGGUAGUGCGUCUGAUUAGCUAGUUGUAGGGGUAACGGCCCACAAAGGCGAGGAUGAGUAGCCGGGCUGAGAGUAUGAACGGCCACGUUGGGAAGGAGACACGGCCCAGACUCCUACGGGAGGCAGCAGUGGGGAAUCUUCCGCAAUGGACGAAAGUCUGACGGAGCAACGCCGCGUGAGUGAUGACGGCCUUCGGGUUGUAAAGCUCUGUUAAUCGGGACGCGGUACCGGCAUAGAAAGCCACGGCUAACUACGUGCCAGCCGCCGCGGUAAUAC